rnacentral:pre_miRNA from 12 species
GGGCAGAAACCCGUAGCAACCAAUCAAAUGUUUGUUUUCAUUGAUUUACCUACAAAUCACUGAUUGGUUGCUAUGGGACACUGCCCA